UCAGGUACCGCAGUGUAUCAGCACAUCUUUCUAAAGGAGUUUCAAAGAACCGAAGAAUGUGCUCCUUUAAACAGUUGCUUUUUUCUCUGUUCCUCAGCUUCCUCCACCACGAGUCAGCCUCCUCAUUUUCUGCAGCAUUUUCCAUCUGUGUCAUUGGCGUAGUACACACGUGCCUGACCUAGAUGUUUACUGGCAUUUGCAGCAUCGUGAUUAUCUUCCUCAUCAUUAUCUUUGAAGCCCAACUGAAAUGAUGCCCUGUAACUACGGGUCUGUGAGUUGUUUUGGAACAGGAUGUAUCAGCCUGUCAGCAUUGUUUGCAACAGAACUGAAGAAUAGCAAUUUCCCCGAGAGAGAGAGAGUGAAAGAAAAACUUGUGGUGGAAGCCAGCCAUCAGCAACUCCUAGAGCCAUCCACCUGUUACCCUGGCAUCAGGGAAAGUACAUUAGGUAAUUCAGAUUCUCCUGGGCUCAAAUCCUCGUCUCUGCUGCACAUGACAUCCAAGGCACGUGGUCAGUAGAUUGAUUUUUUACGAUUUCACCAGCAACUGGCGGGCUGCAACAUCACGGAGCUGUUUGAAAUCAUCAUAUGUAAGCUGAUUAUUUGAAGGGAUUUUUCACACACACAUAAUAUUAAAUUUCUGAUCAUAUUUUGUCUCCUCUAAGAAUCUUCAAUUUCUGAAAUAAUAAAGAACAGCUAGAUCUUUUUUAGCA
rnacentral:lncRNA from 1 species